UAACGCCAUAUAGUAAAGGUGUACAUUUCGUAUCGCGGUACACUUUUUUCGAUUUGAUGGACACGACGGGUAGGACUACUGUGUAUCAUAAUACUGCGUGUAUAUUUAUGUUCAAAAUCCAACAAUUUCCCCAUUCAAAACAACCCAAAAAUGCAAAUUUGUCCGCUCAUAUUUUAGCUAUAAGAAAUUACUUGGUUUUUCGUACAGAUUUUAUACGAUUUUGUACAUUUCUUUCUCUCUUUGAAUUUUUCAGAAAUCCGUUAGUUUUUCACCGUUUGGCCACGUUUCGCGUGCAUUAAAUAUUAGUUUAAGUAAGAUUCGGCUGAAGAGAUA